CUAUGUCAGCUGAAGGUUGUUUGGUUAGUUAUUGGCUGGGUUACCUAGCUCUUUUCCACACGGUUUCUCAUCUUCCUUCAAGCUAGCCUGGCUUUGUGCUUACAGAGGAGCUGAGAGGAGAGAGAGAGAGAAUCACAGAGAAAGAGAAAGAGAGAGAGAUUGCAUAAGUGCAAGGACCUUUUAAGGCCUGUGUUUAGAAGUAGAAUGCUGUCAGUUCUACCAUCUUCUACGGACCGUGUUGAUUCACUGCCUCUCCUACUAUUUACAACAAAGUUCUUAAAAAGUGUGCGUUGAUGAGCAAGUAUAUCCUGCUUAGACAUAAAAUGACCUGGAAAUGGAAAUUUACUGUAGGAUCUGUGCCAAAUGCGAGGCUGCCCUUGCCACUAAGGACUUCUAACAUUGCAACUAUCAAGAUGAUGAUGAACUCAUCAACAGAUGGAGAGAGACUGCUGUAUUUUGAAGGACUCUGGAUAAUAAAUAGACCAUUUGACCAUAAUGCUGUGAAAAAGCCCAACCUAAUCUACUCAAUAUGAAAGUCUCUGCAGAAAGAAGAAUGGAGGUACUCUGGUGACAGCUAGUACCAUGUUCCAAAGGCCAUCUUCAGCCUGCAGAUUCAGGGAAGACAUCAGAUGAUGGUAGCCACAUGGGCCCAGCGCUGUCAUCCUGAAGAAAAGUAACAUCUGUUUUGACAUCUCCAGUGGUAGAGACUUUAAAUCAGUUUCCACAUUGCUUAUCUGCUGGCUAAUCAGAAUGGAUGCAGUAUUCUUACCAACUCAUUGACAGGGAAAAAAGAAAAGAUAUGCAGAGAAAUAGGGUAAACUAAAACUGAUAUGAUGAAUUUAAAUGAAAAAUGUAAUGGCCUUUGCAUAUAUUAUAUCUAAACUUUCAUUCAAUGUAAAAUUUGAUAAUUUCAUUUAAUUCCUAACUGUACAGAGAUUUAUUUUUCUUUCCUCUUCCUGAUGUAUACCUUUGCUUCCACUUAAAUAUAAUAAAACAUUAAAGCAUAUUUUACUUCUCAAACUAUUUAGUUUCAUCUUAAACUCAAGGUUUGAAUUGGAGAAAAUUGAUUUGUUAUUUUCAAUAAGAUGUGCUAUAAAAAUGCAGGAUUUCAAACUGCAGGUAUUAGAAAAACAUCAUGUCAUAUUGUUUCUUUAGUGGUUAUAUAGUCUUAACAUCUCUUGACUUAUUACAAACAUUAGAUUUAAAAGCAUAGUCAAUAAAAACUGCUCCCUACAGGAAUUGUAACUUCCAUGUCUUCCGUGUUUUUGAAACUUUCUUAAAGCUAUACCAACUUAGUUUUAGGUAUCUCUUAUAAAGAAAAAAAAAAUAUUUCCACUUGAAUAAGUCAGGACUUCCCUCAAAACUUUACCUGGAUUAUUUGGGUAGUAAGUGGGUUACCUCUGUUCUCUUUCUUUCUUUUUGUAUAUGUAGGCAUAAACUUCAUAUUGCUACUUAAGCACUGACCUAUUCAUUGUAAACUGGUUGAGUUACAAAAAAUUACAUAUAAAGUUUUCAGUCCAGUGGACCAACUCAGUUAAGCCAUUUUGUUAGUAUAGAUGUUAGUAUAUAUGCAGCCUGAGUUAAUAGAGAAGCUGGGAGAAGCUUACAGUGGUCUUUAUUGUUAAAUAUAUGGGAGGACAAUCCUUCAACCAGAUUAAUACUAUGAAGGACUUGUGUGUUCUUCAAAGAAAAUGGCAGAAUUUAAACAAAGGAACCUAAAAGUGAUCUUUCAUGCGCAUCCGUGUGAAGAGACCACCAAACAGGCUUUGUGUGAGCAACAUGGCUGUUUAUUUCACCUGGGUGCAGGCGGGCUGAGUCCAAAAAGAGAGUCAGCGAAGGGAGAUAGGGGUGGGGCCAUUUUAUAGGAUUUGGGAAGGUAAUGGAAAAUUACAGUCAAAGGGGCUUGUUCUCUGGUGGGCAGGGGUGGAGCUCACAAAGUACAUUCUCAAGGGUGGGGAGAAUUAUAAAGAACCUUCUUAAGGGUGGGGGAGACUACAAAGUAACUUCUUAAGGGUGGGGGAGAUUACAAAGUACAUUGAUCAGUUAGGGUGGGGUAGGAACAAAUCACAAUGGUGGAAUGUCAUCAGUUAAGGCUGUUUUUACUUCUUUUGUGGAUCUUCAGUUACUUCAGGCCAUCUGGAUGUAUACAUGCAAGUCACAGGGGAUGCGAUGGCCUGGCCUGGGCUCAGAGGCCUGACAUUCCUGCCUUCUUAUAUUAAUAAGACAAAUAAAACAAAAUAGUGUUGAAGUGUUGGAGCGGCGAAAAUUUUUGGGGGGUGGUAUGGAGAGAGAAUGGGCGAUGUUUCUCAGGGCUGCUUCAAGCGGGAUUAGGGGCGGCGUGGGAACCUAAAGUGGGAGAGAUUAAGCUGAAGGAAGAUUUUGUGGUAAGGGGUGAUAUUGUGGGGUUGUUAGAAGAAACAUUUGUUGUGUAGAAUUAUUGGUGAUGGCCUGGAUACGGUUUUGUAUGAAUUGAAAAACUAAAUGGAAUAAGAGAAGGAGAAAAACAGGUAUAAAAGGUCUAAGAAUUGGGAUGACUCAGGACAUCUGAUUAGAGAGUGCCUAAGGAGAUUCAGCAUAGCCCUGCCAGCAAUGAUUAUUUAUUUACUUCAGGAGUUAAGAAUGGCAGUUUGAGGAUAGCACGAGGCAAGCGUGAUCAGGGUGAGGAACAGGAAAGAAAGAAAUAUGGGGAAAUGGGGUGAAUAUCAGGUGGAUCAGAGAGAUACAGUCAUGGGGGUCAGGUGUGGUAUCAGGAAUAAUGUGGGAGGCCAGAUUGAAGUCCGGGCCAGGAACAAUGGUAAUUGUGGGACUUAAAGAGUGAGUACAGCUGAAGAAGCUGGGGAGCAUAAAGUAUAUGCAUCAGGUAUGAGGAAGAAAAUAGAUUUUGGAAGUUAUGAGAAAUGUAGAGAGUGAGUUGAGCAUAGUUUGUGAUUUUUAGGGCCUCUAACAGUAUUAAAGCAGCGGCAGCCACUGCACGCAGACAUGAGGGCUAGGCUAAAACAGUAAGGUCAAGUUGUUUGGACAGAAAGGCUACACGGUGUGGUCCUGGCUCUUGUGUAAGAAUUCUGACCACACUAACCAUGCCUAGGAAGGAAAGGAGUUGUUCUUUUGUAAGGGAUUGAGGUUUGGGAGAUUAAUCAGACACGAUCAGCAGGGAGAGCAUGUGUGUUUUUAUGCGAAUUAUGCCGAGAUAGGUAACAGAUGAGGAUGAAAUUUGGGCUUGACUGAAGUAAUGGGAGCUGUCUGUGAAGACUUGUGGCAGUACAGCCCAGGUAAUUUGCUGAGCCUAAUGGGUGUCAGGGUCAGUCUAAGUGAAGGCAAAGAGAGGCUGGGAUGAAGGGUGCAAAGGAAUAGUAAAGAAAGCAUGUUUGAGAUCCAGAACAGAAUAAUGGGUAGUAGAGGGAGGUAUUGAGGAUAGGAGAGUAUAUGGGUUUGGCACCACGGGGUGGAUAGGCAAAACAAUUUGGUUGAUAAGGCGCAGAUUCUGAACUAACUUGUAAGCCUUGUCUGGUUUUAGGACAGGUAAAAUGGGGGAAUGGUAAGGAGAGUUUAUAGGUUUUAGAAGCCCGUGCUGUAGCAGGCGAGUGAUCACAGGCUUUAAUCCUUUUAAAGCGUGCUGUGGGAUAGGAUAUUGGCGUUGAGCGGGGUAAGGGUGAUUAGGUUUUAAUGAGAUGGUAAGGGGUGCAUGAUCAGUCGCCAAGGAGGGAGUAGAGGUCUCUUAUACUUGUGGGUUAAGGUGGGGGAAUACAAGAGGAGGACGCAAAGGAGGCUUUGGAUUGGGAGGAAGGGCAGCAAUGAGAUGCAGCUGUAGUCCAGGAAUAGUCAGGGAAGCAGAUAAUUUGGUUAAAAUAUCUCGGCCUAAUAAGGGAACUGGGCAGGUGGGGAUAACUAAAAAAGAGUGCAUAAAAGAGUAUUGUCUAAGUUGGCACCAGAGUUGGGGAGUUUUAAGAGGUUUAGAAGCCUGGCUGUCAAUACCCACAACAGUUAUGGAGGCAAGGGAAACAGGCCCUUGAAAAGAAGGUAAUAUGGAGUGGGUAGACUCCGUAUUGAUUAAGAAGGGGACGGGCUCACCUUCCACUGUGAGAGUUACCGGAAGCUCGGCGUCCGUGAUGGUCUACGGCGCUUCCAAGGCGAUCGGGCAGCAUCAGUCUUCAGCCGCUAAGCCGAGAAGGAGUCAGUCAGAGAACAUUGGGCCAGAGUUCCAGGGGCUCUGGGAGUGGCUGCCAGGUGAGUUGAACAGUCCAAUUUCCAGUGGGGUCCCGCACAGAUGGGACACAGCUUAGGAGGAAUCCUGGGCUGCAGGCAUUCCUUGGACUGGUGGUCAGAUUUCUGGCACUUGUAGCAAGCUCCUGGGGGAGGAGGUUCUGGAGGAACGCCUGGCCGCUGCGGUUCAGGCGUUUGGAAGUUCUUGUGUGCUGGAGAUGUGGCUGGGGUUUGUCUCACAGUGGAGGCAAGGAAUUGCAACUUUUUUCUAUUAUUGUACACCUUGAAGGAGAGGUUAAUUAAAUCCUGUUGUGGGGUUUGAGGGCCGGAAUUUAAUUUUUGGAGUUUUAUUUAAUGUCGGGAGCAGAUUGGGUAAUAAAAUGUAUAUUGAGAAUAAGAUGGCCUUUUGACCUUUUAGGGUCUAGGGGUGUAAAGCCUCUCAGGGUUGCUGCCGAACAAGCCAUGAACUGGGCUGGGUUUUUAUAUUUGAUGAAAAAGAGCCUAAACGCUAUCCAAUUUGGGAUAAAGAAAAAGGAGCAUUAACCUUGACUAUGCCUUUGGCUCCAGCCACCUUUUUAAGAGUAA
rnacentral:lncRNA from 10 species